CUCUUCUUGUUUAAAAUGUAUUUGAAGUAUAACCUGCCCACUGAUAUUGGAUUUGAAGGGCCGCGGUAUUUUGACCGUGCAAAGGUAGCAUAAUAAUUAGUCUUUUAAUUGGGGACUAGAAUGAAUGGUUGGACGAGGAAUAGACUGUUUCUUAAUAAUUUAUUUUGAAGUUAAAAUUUAAGUUAAAAUGCUUAAAUUUUUUUAUGGGACGAGAAGACCCUAUAGAGUUUAAUAUAUUUUAUUAUUGUUUUGUUUGUUAUAUCUUAUUUAUUAUAAAAUUUAUUUUGUUGGGGUGAUGAAAAUGAAUUAAUAAACUCUUUUUUUUAUUUAUAUAUUUAUAUAUAAUUUUUUGAUCCAUUUUUGUUGAUUAUAAGACUAAAUUACCUUAGGGAUAACAGCGUAA
rnacentral:rRNA from 1 species